rfam:Myotis brandtii contig233585, whole genome shotgun sequence.
GCUGGUGUGGCUCAAUGGUUGAGCACUGACUCAUGAACCAGGAGAUCCAGGUUCAAUUCCUGGUCAAGGCA